rnacentral:tRNA from 1 species
GCCACCGACCCACGGAUGGGACGCAGCACUACGAAUGCUGUCGAAGAGAGUUCGAGUCUUUCCGGUGGUGCCA